GGAUGGGUCGAUUUAGCCAUGCUAGUUGCACGAGUUCAGACUCGUAGCAGAUAGCUCAGUAACACGUGGCCAAACUACCCUAUGGAUCCGAAUAACCUCGGGAAACUGAGGCUAAUGCGGAAUAGCGUUCAUCGCCUGGAGUGGCACGAACGCGAAACGUUACGGCGCCAUAGGAUGUGGCUGCGGCCGAUUAGGUAGACGGUGGGGUAACGGCCCACCGUGCCCAUAAUCGGUACGGGUUGUGAGAGCAAGAGCCCGGAGACGGUAUCUGAGACAAGAUACCGGGCCCUACGGGGCGCAGCAGGCGCGAAACCUUUACACUGCACGCGAGUGCGAUAAGGGGACUCCGAGUGCGAGGGCAUAUAGUCCUCGCUUUUCACGACCGUAAGGUGGUCGUAGAAUAAGUGCUGGGCAAGACCGGUGCCAGCCGCCGCGGUAAUACCGGCAGCACGAGUGAUGACCGCUAUUAUUGGGCCUAAAGCGUCCGUAGCUGGCCACGCAAGUCUAUCGGGAAAUCCGCGCGCUUAACGCGCGGGCGUCCGGUGGAAACUGCGUGGCUUGGGACCGGAAGACCAGAGGGGUACGUCCGGGGUAGGAGUGAAAUCCCGUAAUCCUGGACGGACCACCGGUGGCGAAAGCGCCUCUGGAAGACGGAUCCGACGGUGAGGGACGAAAGCUCGGGUCACGAACCGGAUUAGAU
rnacentral:rRNA from 1 species